rnacentral:rRNA from 1 species
AUGCACGCUGGCGGUAUGCUUAACACAUGCAAGUCGAACGGACUCUUCGGAGUUAGUGGCGGACGGGUGAGUAACGCGUGCGAAUCUGGCUUUGGGUUCGGGACAACCACUGGAAACGGUGGCUAAUACCGGAUGUGCCGAGAGGUAAAAGAGAAAUUGCCUGAAGAUGAGCUCGCGUCUGAUUAGCUAGUUGGUGAGGUAAAGGCUCACCAAGGCAGCGAUCAGUAGCUGGUCUGAGAGGAUGACCAGCCACACUGGGACUGAGACACGGCCCAGACUCCUACGGGAGGCAGCAGUGGGGAAUUUUCCGCAAUGGGCGAAAGCCUGACGGAGCAAUACCGCGUGAGGGAAGAAGGCUCUUGGGUUGUAAACCUCUUUUCUUAGGGAAGAACAAAAUGACGGUACCUAAGGAAUCAGCAUCGGCUAACUCCGUG